rnacentral:rRNA from 1 species
AAAUUGAAGAGUUUGAUCAUGGCUCAGAUUGAACGCUGGCGGCAGGCCUAACACAUGCAAGUCGAGCGGUAGCACAGGAGAGCUUGCUCUCUGGGUGACGAGCGGCGGACGGGU